rnacentral:rRNA from 1 species
GAUGAACGCUGGCGGCGUGCCUAAUACAUGCAAGUCGAGCGAACAGACGAGGAGCUUGCUCCUCUGACGUUAGCGGCGGAUGGGUGAGUAACACGUGGAUAACCUACCUAUAAGACUGGGAUAACUUCGGGAAACCGGAGCUAAUACCGGAUAAUAUAUUGAACCGCAUGGUUCAAUAGUGAAAGACGGUUUUGCUGUCACUUAUAGAUGGAUCCGCGCCGCAUUAGCUAGUUGGUAAGGUAACGGCUUACCAAGGCGACGAUGCGUAGCCGACCUGAGAGGGUGAUCGGCCACACUGGAACUGAGACACGGUCCAGACUCCUACGGGAGGCAGCAGUAGGGAAUCUUCCGCAAUGGGCGAAAGCCUGACGGAGCAACGCCGCGUGAGUGAUGAAGGUCUUCGGAUCGUAAAACUCUGUUAUUAGGGAAGAACAAAUGUGUAAGUAACUAUGCACGUCUUGACGGUACCUAACCAGAAAGCCACGGCUAACUACGUG